rnacentral:lncRNA from 1 species
UGAAAGUUACCAUCCUCCACACUGCACGAAGAGCAUUCCAUACAGCCAGGCUCUCAGAAUAAGGCGAAUUAGCUCCUCUGAAGACACUGCUAAACAACGUCUGGGGCAGCUCAAAGGACAUUUGAAAAAAAGAGGAAAAAAACACAAAAACAUCAAAAAUAGUUUUCGAAAAGCGGAAUCCAUCCCCAGAAGCAGUCUGCUAACUUCAGAAAACAGAAAAGUAAAAGAAUCCUAUGUAUGCUUACUUACCAUCCAUGCCUUACAAAUAGUUUCGUGAUCAUUGGACAGCAAUCGAGAAACAUUCUAAGUUAUCCAUAAUCUUUCCUGAGCCUCCCAUGAUUGCCUUCAAACAACCUAACAGCC